rnacentral:misc_RNA from 1 species
AACCAUAGAAACCUGCGGAGUACCUGCGGAAGGAUCAUUACCGAGUUUACAACUCCCAAACCCCUGUGAACAUACCUAUACGUUGCCUCGGCGGAUCAGCCCGCGCCCUGUAAAACGGGACGGCCCGCCCGAGGACCCUAAACUCUGUUUUUAGUGGAACUUCUGAGUAAAACAAACAAAUAAAUCAAAACUUUCAGCAAUGGAUCU